rnacentral:rRNA from 1 species
AAUCAACGCUGGCGGCGUGCCUAACACAUGCAAGUCGAACGCGAGAGGGGGCUUCGGCCCCGAUUGAGUGGCGAACGGGUGAGUAACGCGUGGGUGACCUACCUUCGAGUGGGGGAUAACGUCCCGAAAGGGACGCUAAUACCGCAUAACAUCCUGUCUUUUGAAUGGGUGGAGAUCAAAGCCGGGGAUCGCAAGACCUGGCGCUUGAUGGAGGGGCCCGCGUCUGAUUAGCUAGUUGGNGAGGUAACGGCCCACCAAGGCAACGAUCAGUAUCCGGCCUGAGAGGGCGGACGGACACACUGGGACUGAGACACGGCCCAGACUCCUACGGGAGGCAGCAGUGGGGAAUUGUUCGCAAUGGGCGCAAGCCUGACGACGCAACGCCGCGUGGA